GAAAUCUCUUUUAUGGCAGAGAGAGAGAGAGAGAGAGAGAAGAGGAGCAUAAAUGGAGCUGGCAGUCUUCCCUUUAGAGCUCCUCCCGGUGCCGUCCAUUUUGAAAUGAACGGCGAAGGAGACGCCGGCCCCCUGCCAGAGGACGGCAUCAGAACAUUCAUAACGGUGCGGUGCACGGAUGCUGUGUGAAGAAAAGCUCUCCUGCGCGCCGUCCAUCGGCUGGGGACGAACGGCUCCCUGUCCCCGGGUGUCUCGCUCCCUUCCCCUCUUCCGGUCGACGAUGAACGGCGGAGAUCUGGUUUCCUCUCGCAGAAGCGGUGGCUUCUCUGACGACCGCCGUACGAUCGCUCGGCCCCUUUCCGGGCGGUGGGCAGAGAAGCUCUCGUCCUCCGCCCCAUGUGGUGGGACACUUUGACAGACCCCGCAGUGCACAUGAUCCUCCUUCUCCCGCCCUCAUUUUUCGAAUCCGAGGCGAUGACGGGGCCCGCGCACUUGCCUCCAGCUCACCGGACGAAGGCUCUGCUGCGUCCAAUUGUUUUUUGCCAUGGACACUUGCGAAUUCAUAAUCUCUGAAACAACUAAUCAAGAAAAUUUCUUGUACCAACUUCAGGAGACUUCCACCUUUUUUAUUUGCCGCGAGCUGACCUGUUUUUUUCGAGAUCAUAGCCACUUGUUGAAUCUUUUCUGCUUAGAAAAAAGUUGUUUCUUUAGGGGGCGUUUGACGGGCAGGAAAAAUCCUGUAGCAGCAGAAAAAAAAUUCAAAUUUUUAAAAAAUUUCCGGUUUAUCAAACGCAGAAAAAAAUUUUGGACCGUUACGGUCGAUUUCGGAAACUUUUUUCCGGAGAAAUAUUUUUGCCCGUUAGGGCACACCUUGCUUCUCCUUGCUUUCUCCUCCCGCAGCCGCAUCAUCCUCUCUCUCGCCCGCAGCAGCACCAACCUCGCUUUCUCCUCUCACAGCGUCUUCCUCUCACCCGCAGCCGCACCAACCUCGCUGUCUCCUCUCACAGCGUCUUCCUCUCGCCCGUUUGCCCUCUCGCCUGCUCGCCCUCUCACAGCGUCUUCCUCUCGCCCGUUCACCCACCUGAGGUUUCGCCGGGGAAUCCGUUGGGAGGAAGAAUGUCUGCUUCUGUUGGGCGGUUGAGGCUGACCUUGUUGCUGCCGCUGAUGGUGGUGGUACUGGCGGUUGUGGCGUUGGAUUGGUGCUAGUGGAUGAUGGGGGAGAGAGGAUAGAUGGGGAAUGGGGAAGCUUGGCAGGCGACGGUGCCUUCAUCUGGGUGGAAUUGGAUGUGGCAGAAACCCUUUGAACAAGAGAUGGAACGCAAAAAUUUGAAUGCGCAGGCGGAUAUGGCUGCCCUGAUCCACAAGGAGAGACAUAGAGAGAGAGGGAAAGGGAAAGGAUGAGAUUCCUACAGUUCCUCCCUCUUUUCUCGCGGGUGGAGUUCCGUCCCCCUUUUGCUUCCAGUUGAGAAAAUCUUCCAGAGUAUAUCGGUGGUCAUAGAUCUCGACGGCAUCCUCCAAGAGCUAUUCGACCUCUCUGCAGAGGGUGUGAGAGUCGGGGCCAUUGUCGAGCUGGGCAAACUUCGAACCCACAAAGAGGGCGAUGUUUCUGGCCCACAAAUGCCACUUCUGCAGGUCCGGGAUGGUGGUGGUGUAGACCAGAGGGCGGAGGAAAAGACGACUCGGAGUUUCCUCGGUGAUGGCGGUGGUCGUCGUCUUCCUCUCACACAGAACCGUCGUCCCCUUCCUUCUUUUCCAAUUUUUUUUCAUCAAACAAAAAAAAAAUUUCCAGAAACAUAAUUCCUAUGUAACAAACAAAACUUGGUUUUGGACAAUUGAAAUUUUAUUUCCUAUUCAUUAAUUCCAGGAAUUUUUUUCUAGAAAUUUUUUUCCAUUUCCAUAUUUUCUGCCAUCAAACGGCCCCUUAAUGAACACAAAAUCCUCUUCGACGAGUUUUUUUUUCCUUUGCUUUUCUAAGUGUUGACAGUCUAAAUGCAUAUUGAGUGAUGGAUUGGUAGAACUUACCUGUGUUUUGGUUUUCUUUUAACGAGGGAAGUGGUUUUUUCAUUGCCUUCAAGAGAAGGCUAUACUCUCUCCCUACGUUUUUAGGCUCCAAUAAAAAUGUUUUAUGAAUCUUUUAUGGUAUAGAUGGCGAAAAAAUUUUCUGUAACUUUAAAGUAGGAAUGGCUGUUGACUCUAACUCUAUGUUUGAUAAGCCCAGAGCGGAACCAUUAAUUUUUUAUUAAGGAGGCUGAAAUAUAGUUUCAAAAUUUUAACAAAAGCCAAAAUAAAAGUUUUUAAAAAUUGCAUAUAUAUAUAUAUAUAUAUAUAUAUAUAUAUAGGGGGGGGGGGAAGCUUAUGAUCAUAAAUAGUUCAACUCUUAGACAUGGCAUUCGAAGCUCUUUUAACUACCUGCCCUUGGAUAAGCUUAUGAAUGGUUCAACUCUUAAACAUGGCAUUCUAAGUUCUUUAACUACAAUUUCUCAAUUUCUCUCUCUUAUGGUGACCAAAGUCUUUCUCUCUCUCUCUUCUUGUAUUUAGGGAAUUUGUUGAUCUCAAAUUUUGUUAUGCUCUGUCUCUUUUCUUACCCUAAGAGUGUAGUAUAACUGGUCGGGCAUAGAGGGCAAGAUGAGACGUGGUUCCUUUGAUUCCAGUGGGCACUAAUCAUCCUUAAGAGCUUGAGAUAAAGUAGAGGAAGCUCUCUCUCUCUCUCACUCUUUCUUUCCUUCCUUGUUCUUGUUUCGUCCAUAGCAACCAAGGGUUUAUCACUCUUCGUCUCUCUCUCUCUCUCUCUCUCUCUCUCUCCUCUUCGUCUCUCUCUCUCUCUCUCUCUCUCUCUCUCUACCGGCCUACUAGAGACCUUCUUUAUCACAUGCAUUGAGGUCUUCAAGGCCACUCUGUACUUUGAAGUGGAAAAGAGUCCUCCUUUGAAGAUCUGUCAGAAAAAAAUAAGUGAUUUCUAAGCCGAAGGGGGAGACAGGAAGGAGUCGGCCAACUUAUUUUAUGACCAGUUGAGGAGACAGACAACCCUUAGCCACAAGGGUUUGGCAAGCAGAGGUCUGUCGAAGGCCAGGUAAGUGUAGCUUCCCAUGCAGAUAUGAGAUUGAACCGCCUUAUGGAUAUGAAAUCCAUGGAUCUAAAAUCUGUUGUUUGCUAAACCUCAAAUAUGAAAUCCAAUGCUAACAAACAUGGUUUAAAUGUAAA